rnacentral:lncRNA from 1 species
UCUGAAAACAGAAAACAUGUCAUUCUUGUAUUUCUGAUACUUCACUAGUUGAUAAUAUCAGAGAGUGUCACAAUGAGCAAGUCAUUAUGGAGAUUCUGCCUGGUACUAAUUCCAGACUCUAUGUUCAACUUCUAGAGAGCACAAGUCCACAGAUAGUUCUAUUUAUUAAUUGGAUUUGGCAAGGAGAGUUAAUUCCUUGCAAAAAUAGACAAGCAAACUAUUAAAAAUAACAUUCAAAGGAGAAGGCUAAAAAUAAUAUACAAAAAAGCGAAAUUGCUUAAUUCAAGUAAAAGUGUAGAAAAAGAAUUCUAUUAAAAUUCAUUUAAGUAUUUAGUGAUAACGUUGAAGUGUUUAAAAAAGAGGCCAAAUGUGGAAUGUUAGCUCAAUCUCCUCAGCAACUGUUUUUUUUUCUUUCAUUUUUAAGAUUUUGUUCAGCUUUUAAUAAUGAAGACUUUAUAAGUAGUGAAAAGACGAAGCAAGAUUUCUUAACAGUGAAUCUUCUGAAAUGUUAAAUAAAUUUUAUAUACAGUUGGCCCUUCAUAUUCAUGAGUUCCACAUCUGUGGAUUUAACCAAACUCAGAUCAAAAAUAUUCCGGGAAAAAAUAACAACAAAAAAAAAUGGAUGGUUGCAUCUGUACUGAACACGUACAGACUUUUUUCCUUGUCAUUAUUCCCUUGACAAUAUAGAUAACAACUAUUCACAUAGCAUUUAUAUUGUACUAGGUAUUAUAAGUAACUUGAGAUGAUUUAAAGUACAUAGAAGGAUGUGUGUAGCUUAUAUGGAAAUACUAAACCAUUUUAUAUAAAAGGUUUGAGCACUCAUAGAUUUUGGUAACCAAGGCGUUCCUGGCCAAUUCCCCGUGGAUACCAAGAGAUGACUGCACAUGUCCCUUUUCUGGAGAAAAUCCAAAGCUUUAUUUGUAUUCCCAAAGGGGAGCUUGUAAUCAAAAGAGAUUUUAAAAACACAGCGUUCUUCCUACUCACUACUCUGUUUGUUUGUUUGUUUGUUUGUUUGUUUGUUUGUUUUGAGACGGAGUCUCACUCUGUCGCCCAGGCUGGAGUGCAGUGGCACGAUCUCAGCUCACUGCAGCCUCUGCCUCCCAGGUUCAAGUGAUUCUACUGCCUCAGCUGGGACUACAGGUGUGUGCCAUCGCACUCUGCUAAUUUUUGCAUUUUUAAUAGAGACAGGGUCUCACCAUAUUGCCCAGGCUGGUCUUGAGCUCCUGGCCUCAGGUGAUCCGCCCACCUUAGCCUCACAAAGUGCUGGGAUUACAGGCGUGAGCCACUGCACCCAGCCUUACUCUGAGUUUAAUAGGAGAGAUGAAGAUACUUCCAAAUUACCUUUAUUCCAAGUAUGUCUCGAGUUUCAGUGCAUUUUUUACUUACUUUGAAGCAAACAAAAACCCUCUACCUUUAUCGGUCUCAAAGUUAAAAAGAAAAACAAAACACAGGUAGCAUUCAAAGGCUUAACUUAUAUAAUAAUCCCUUGGACCUAGGGAACUUGACAAGGAUUUCUAGAGUUGCUCUUGAGAGCUUUGAACAUCUGGAGUCCUCAUAGGAGUGGGGCUGCUAAGUCAUUAAAAAGUGUUAGCUUUUUAGUUUGCCUGAUUAAAAAUAUAGUAUCAUCUCCCUUUGGUCCCACAAAACCCACUAGAAGCACUUAACUGACUCCCACAUAGUUAAACCAUUCUCUGGGCAGUUAAUUAGGAACUAUGCCUUUCCCAGACUCCAAGAAGUUUUCAAACUGCUCAGCAUAGUGUGUCUAUUACACACAUUAUUAAAAGAAGAAAGGUUGCCUGUGCUUCUGGUAAAAACUCCUGCAGAAAAUAAAAAUCAAAACUAUCUUGUAACCAGGAGGAUUAUGUGGAAUAAAGUCAGUUUUCAAGAAGUCUGGCUUUUUAUUUAUUAAACAGAGUGGGAAUGGAGCAGGGUGAGAAGAAACACCAGCUUUCAGUGAAAGUCAUUUUAAAGACGCUUGUUCCUGUUUAAUGUGCUCAUCAUAAUGCAGUGAAUGACACUCCAGCGGAGAACAUCGGUCACUCCAGUGAUAACAGAAUUUGGAAAGGAUGGUGAACAGUUCUAAAAAUAUUUUUUAAAUCUUUUAUGCUAAGGAUAGCUGCAGAAUAUAAUUAAAAUACCAAAGAAAAUACCCCAAAUUAAAAAUUUGAGAAAGAAACUUAUCUUCUGUGCUUCACAUAUCCUAAAAUUAAACUUUUUACUCUUCCUUCUUGACACCUGAGCCCCAACCUGUCCUACAGAACACAUCUUGUUACUAUACUGAAUGAGAAUAAAAAAGAAUGGGAUAUUGUUUAUUAAUCACUUAUUCUCUCAAUAAAUAUUUGUUUUGCCUUUUGUAAUUUUUUUUUCUUUGAGUGUUUUCAAAUCUUCCUUUUGAGGUUCAAACCUUAAAAUACAGUUUUCAGGUGGAUUAUUUACUUCUUUUCCAAUUACUCUCCAAGUAGGAUGUUAAUUACCAAUGAGGCCAUUUGAGAUCACUGACCUAACAUAAUUCAAGCUGCCCCAUGAAAAACUAUACCUCAACACAGAAUUAGGAGAGCCCUGGUUAUCAUUCAGUGUGUGCUUUAUUAUUACAUACUAUAUUUAUAUAUAUUUGUAAAGAAGUGGCAGAAAGGGAAUCAGGAAUAUUAACAAUAAUAUUAAAAUCCCUAUUAUUGUUUUUGUAAGGAUGUCUUUUAUAGCAUGACCUAUGUAUUUGUUCCACAUAUGCUCAUUCUUACCAGCUUAUAAUUUAUGGAUGUUUGGUGCGGGGCAGUUACAGGGAUCUCAAAUGGGCUCAGUUCAGGUUCUAUUUCAAGGGUAGGUAUGGGAAGAUUUCCCUUCCUCACCCUUACAAUCUCAUGAGGUCUCCAGGCCCUACUGCCCUUCUCUGGGGAGUUCAAAGAGAGGUUGCCCACAUAGAGAAGUGGACAAAAUAGGCCAAAGUCUAAGGCUAAGACUGGAAUCAUUUCUGCAAGGUGGUCACCAGGAAAAGUACUGGC